CUUUCCUCACCCCUCCGUAAACAGAGAUACACUCAGCGUGCUUCUCUUCUAUUUCCAGUUAGAGAAAAAUCAACAACCAGAGAUACACUUAGCGUGGUCUCUCUAGGUUUCUUGGAGCUUCCUUCUCGUCAAGGUGAUCUUCAAACCCCUCAACGCCCAGCUCUCUGCAAAGGAUCAGGCAAAGAGACAUCUGAAACUCAAUAUUAGAUGUUGUUUAAAGGUCACAUGCCAAACAGAUAUGAUCAAAGACUGUUGUUGCCUUAGUUGCUGCUGUCAACUGCUGCCCUGCUGCUGCUUUAGCUACUGCUAACAACUGCUGAAGUGCUGGUUUAAGGCUGUUAUAAGUUUAGCUGCUGCUAUAUAAUAUCACAAAACACAUAGUUGUGUUAAAAGAAGAACUCCAGCCUUCUCUCGUUACCGCUCAUCGCUCAUCGAACCUGCUCGUUUGUUGGUCUGGCUCUUGUCAAUCAAGCAUCGAUAAGAAAAACACAUUCUUAGAGUGUUCUUCUCAUCAAGCUAAGUUUCUGCUUUUGUACAUGUAUUAAUGAAUUUGGUUCUAUGGUGCAUCUUAUUUCUUUAUUCUUCUUUUUCUUUUACUUAUGGGUUGUUGUUGAUGGUGUUACUAACUAAUUGUGCGUCGAGGGAGGUUCACUUGCAGGUAUUGUUUAUCAUCUUAGUCAGUUGCCACCGAACUUUUUGCCAAAGGACCUUUUUUUUUUUAAACUUACGCAAGUAUAAUUGGGGGCCAAGUGAUCCUUUAAGUAUGCAGUCGAAGUAAUGAUUAUACUGUAGGGAUGUUCUGGACAAAGCUCUUAUAUCUUCACUUGAAUGGUAAAAAGUGAGUAUUUAACAAAAAAAUCCUGAAGUAUACUAUAAAGUUUAAGUGCAUCCGUAAUGUAUUUUCUUACGGUAUGGUGUUCCUUUGACUGAUACCUUUAAACGGAGACGAAUCUAAAGUAUGAUUUUAUUAUAUGCAUGCAUUUUAAAGCAAUGGGUUAGUUGGACCAAAUAGUUGAUACCUUUUUCAAAUAAUUUUUAUCUAUCGUAAAUUUUCUGAUUUGCAAAUUUUGAUUUGAAAGUAUGCAUGUUUUUUGUAAGUAACUUCAAAGCUUUUGUCGAAGACUUCUAGUUCUUUUGAACUUUAAGUGAAGUAAAUUUUUGUUUGCUCUUAUAGUGUCCUAGACUUAGAUGAGGAGACUGGAUGCUUGAAGUGGAAUAUUUUCACGUUUGUACCAUGUCUCCGUCUUUUUAGAGCUCCAUAUUGGUCCAAAGUGCGGCAGUGAGAUCUAUGUUUGUUGUUCUUCUUUCAAUUUACGCUCUUGUCAUUUUAGAAUCUAUCUGCAAGUAAAGUUCGUUGUCUUAGUUAUCAAUGGGGGAGAUUUACACUCACCGUCUUUUUUUCUUCUUUAAAGUCAAAAUUUGAGGGUGCAAGAAGCAACAACCUGAUUUUCAUAUAUGAUAAUCAUGCCAUAAUCCUGCAAAGCUCCAAAACUUUGAAUUAGACAAUAGAAGUCUCACCUUCAUUAAUAAUGGAUAAUGAAGUUCAAGUGUGCGUAUAAAGUUUAGGUUCCUGAACAUUACUCUAAAAAGAUAAACCAGUUAUUCACUAGGACACAUUUCUCUAUCUUUAUUUUUGGAAAUCAUCUAAUUUUGUUGGACUAUGCGAUAGAUAUAUAAGUUAUUGUUCACAUGCUUUUUUAGAAACUUUAAUGUUUUGCAUCCUGGUAAAUAUGUUUGAGGAAUUAUGUUUCUUCUUUAAGAGUUUAUUGUUUGUUACUAAACUGGCAUAAACUUGUUUUUUCUUUACAGCUCAAGAAUUUGAAGAUGGAAGAAUCUAUCGUUCAUGAAAGUAAGGAGCAAGUUGAAGUUCAAGAGGGCUUUUUAUUUCGUUAGGGGAGGUUUAAAGACGAUAUCUUAUGUAUAUAUGCUGCAAAUUUUCUCUUUUGCGUAGUUGAUAAGAUGUCAUACAACUUGGAUAUGGUAUAUCUUUCUUUAAUUAGUUCUUU